UGUAGUUCUCCGUUAGAAGCGGUUUUGUUUUGGUGAAAAUCGCGUGUUUAGCUCAACAACGAAGGAGCUGAGGCCUGACGAGGGAAAGUUGGAUGCAGCAACUACAACACAGUGUUUUCCACAGUUUUCCACCUUCUGGAGGACGUGGGAACAGGAGUCAGAGUCCCCGUCUCAGCAUCAUGGAGUCAGUCUGAGAUUACAUGAGGAGACAGAAGACACUGAGAUGGAUUAAGUCCACAGAGGAACUCUAUGACGAGGUCUCCACAAUGCUGGGAACAGUCUUCCUGCCAAGAACCUUGGAAGACUGUGUGGUUUCACUGAGGAGAUUUAGUGCUGGUUUCAAAGUAAAGGAUUUGAUUAUAUUAAAGUUAUAAAUACAUAUGAAUGAUGUCUAAAACUGUGCUGUAAUCGUUUAUAACUGCAGGCCUCAUGCAGACAUGAUCUCACUGCAUUACUUUCAUCAUCUCACACAAUGACAUGAUGUUAAUACUCGUAUGUGUUCUAAUCUGGACUCUUCAUCACAAUCACAAUCCUCCUCCACCAAAGCCCAGAGAGAGAAUCAGCAAAUUCACUUCAAAUGUCUUAUUUUGUGACUUCAGUGUCUGAAAUCCUCUGUUUGGAUUCACCGUGGUGACAAAAACCAACAGCCCUCGUGUUCCUGGGACUUCAAAACACCGUUUUUCUCUAUGGAUUUUGGUGCAGGAAAGUUAGCAGGCUGUGAAACAGGGCGACAGUUAAAUGUGUUUGAUUGUAUCACAUGAAACACACAACAUAUUUAUAGUAUGUUUGAUAUUGAUCGACUAAAAUCUGCCCUGAUCGGAAUCAUGUGACUGAUCACAAUCAUGUGACUG